rnacentral:lncRNA from 1 species
CUAGCUAUCAUCUUUCUAUUUUUCCUCAUAAUUUUAUUGAAACAUUUGAUUCAUCCAAAAAAACAUUUACCACCUAGUCCUUUGUCUCUCCCAAUAAUAGGCCAUCUUUACCUUAUCAAAAAUUCACUUCACCAAACAUUAACCUCUUUAUCAACUAAAUAUGGUCCGGUUUUAUACCUCCGUUUCGGGUGUCGAAAUAUGUUGAUUGUGUCCUCUUCAUCCUCUGUAAAAGAAUGUUUCACGAAAAACGAUGUUGUAUUUGCAAACCGGCCACAGAGCAUGCUAGGUGACCGGGUUUCUUUUAAUUAUACUGCUAUUUUUUGGGCACCGUACGGUCAACUCUGGAGAGUUCUCCGCCGUCAAACGGCGAUUGAACUCUUCUCUUCAAACAGUCUUCAAAAGUCUUCUUUAAUUCGAAAUGAAGAAACUGGGAUUUUGAUUCGCUCUUUGUUUAAAGCCAGUGAAAAGAAUACACGUGGCGGUACUAGGGUUGACUUGAGUUAUUGGGCUUUUACAUUUGUGUUUAAUGUUAUGAUGAGAAUUGGUACUGGAAAAAGUUGUGUGAGUGAGGAAGUUAUAGGAAUGGAAAAGGGGAAAAAGAUUAUUGAAGAGAUGAGGAGUGUUUUCUUUGCAAAUUUGUUGGUUUUAAACGUGUGUGAUUUUUUGCCAAUUUUGAAAUGGUUUGGUUAUAAAGGGAUUGGGAAAAAAAUGGACUUAACGAGUAUGAAGAGAAAUGAAUUUUUAAACAAAUUACUUGACGAAUUUCGACAGAAAAAAAGUAGUAGUAGUAGUAGUGAUCAUGGAGCUAAGGGGAAGAAGGCGACACUAGUUGAAACUUUAUUGUCUCUGCAGGAAUUUGAACCUGAAUUCUACACGGACGAUCUCAUUAAAAGUCUUCUAAUGGUACGUACAUACGUUCCCUCAAACUAUUGCAUAAAGUUGGUACUAUUAGAUGUCCUUGAUUUGCUUCAUAACUUUUAAUAUAUAUAUAUAUAUAUUCCUGUAUGCAAUAUAUAUCCUUACAAAUUUUGCUGGCGUGUUUUUUUGAGUAUAAACGUGAAAAUAAUUGGCUCACUGUCGGCAUUAGUUUCUAAAGAUUAUAAAUAUGAGAAAUUACAUGAUUAGACACAUUCCAUUAUCAGAUAUACAGUAAUUAUCUAUAUUUUCAAAAUAUUACGUAUCUUACUACUUAAAUAAGUGUUUUCUAUCAUAUAUUGAGGGAGAUACACCUAGAUAUAUGUAUUUUUGGUAUCAAAUACACUAAAAUAGGGAGAGAUGCGAGCAAGAUGGGGAGGGAGGUGAGAGAGAUUUAUUACCAGAUACAUGCAAACCCACUCGUAUACAAUGUAUCUAGAAAAAUUACACCUAAUUUUGACCCCAUGUAUCUCGAGAUACAUGUAUCUGGACGUAUCUAGACACUCCAAAAUCUGAUAAGAUUCAUAAUAUUGCAAAUUAGAGUGUAUCUGAAUAAUUAACUCUUAAACUAGUGAAUUUAUAUAAGUUUCCAUUAUAAAUAUUAGAGUAAAUUACAACCCAAUACCUUUGGGUCAUCUAGUUUACAAAAUAAAUGUACAUAGACCAUAGUGUAUAGAUAAUGUAAAAUUUAUACUAAUAUCCAUAUUUUAUACAUACACAUAUGCAAUAUGUAUACACAACAUAUAUAAUAGAGUUUAUAUGCAAUGUAUAGUUUGGUCAUUUUUGAUAAAUAAGAUGAUCGAAUAGUAUUUAUAUAACUAUUUCUAUUGGUUAUUUAAGACCUAUUUUUAUCUUACAAAAAAGUGAACUGAAAAAUGUUGAAUUUGAGUGCACCAACUUGUGCGACAAAAAUAAGUCUCACAUAAUUAAUAUCAAUGUUAUAACAUCACAAAAGAAAGUUUUUCAAAGUUACUCAACUUUGCGCAAAGUAUCACAGGAAAAAAUAUUUACUACUUUGUUUUCUCGUAGUGACUUCAUGUGAUUGAUAUUUCUAUUACAAAGAAGAAUAGUGUAGUUACUUUUAUUUUACCUAGGUAGUCACUUUUUCAUUACAAAGUUGGUGUAAUAUUAAAAUGAAAGUUGAGUAACGAUCCAUGAAAUUACCAGACUGACAAUAUAUAAUUUGCUUUUACUAAUGUGUGUCUAUGGUGUUUUAGGUUUUGUUUGUUGCGGGAACAGAGACCACAUCAAUGACCAUUCAAUGGGCAAUGCGACUUCUUUUAGCUCACCCUAAAGCAUUUCAAAAAUUGAGAUCCGAAAUUGACAACAAUGUAGGGAACGAGCGCUUAUUAAACGAAUCCGAUUUAACUAAUCUUCCUUAUUUACAAUGUGUUAUAAACGAGACGUUGCGAUUAUACUCUCCAGUACCACUUCUAUUGCCUCACUACUCAUUAGAAGAUUGUACUGUUGGUGGCUACGAUGUACCAAAAAAUACAAUCCUAAUGGUUAACGCUUGGGCCAUUCAUAGGGACCCCGCGUUAUGGGACGAGCCUGAAAAGUUCAUGCCAGAGAGAUUUGAGGCUAUGGAAGGGGAAAAAGAAGGAUUUAGUUAUAAAUUUGUACCGUUUGGUAUGGGGAGAAGAGCAUGCCCUGGAGACAAUAUGGGUAUGCGUACUGUUUCAUUGGUAUUGGGUUCGUUGGUUCAAUGGUUUGAUUGGAAAAAUGUGGAAUUAGAUGAAAAUUAUAGUAAUAUGGAUGAAUACUAUAAUUCUAAAGUAAUUUCAAGUAAGGAUAAGCCUUUUGAGGCUAUUUGCAUUCCUCGUUAGAAUUAAUUUCGAGUAAGAAUUGUGUGUUGUGUAAUAAAUAAGUAUGCUAGAUGGAUCUUGGUGUGUGUUUAUGUGAUAUAUAAGGAUUUUAUCUUUGUGUUUUUAUGGAAUGUACUAUCCAAAUAAGAUCAAUAUUGUGGAAAUGGAUUAAGAGUGUGUUUGGAUUGAUUUAUACUUUCUCGUUUUUAUUUUAUAUGAGUUUAGUUUAAUUUCACAUGGAGUUUAAAAAAAGAAAGAAAAUGACUUUUAAAACUUGUGGUCUAAAAUAAGUGAUAGAUAUUUGUGUGACUAUAAAACAUUUCAUUAAUGGUAAAAUGAACAUUUUAAAGUUUAUGUUACUAUUUAAUAUAGAAAUGUGUCAUUUUUAGACUAUUAAAAAAAAGUAAGUCAUAUAAACUCACAGGGAGUAGUGUUUUUCAAGUUAAAAUAAUUUUUAAAGCGAUUUUGUAGUGUUUCAAUAAACUAAAAUAUUAUUUUUAAGCUAACACGACAAAAAUAAAUAAAAAAUAAGAAGUUAUAAUUCUUCAUUUAUGAUUGUUGAUUUAUAAGCCAGAAACUAUAAGCUCCUCCAAACAUGCUCAUUCUUUAGUAGAUUUCCCAAAAACAGUUAAUUCUCCUCUUGUAUUUCUCAUUAUACAUAACAGUAAAUUAUUCUUGUUAUGAUCUACACAAAACUUGUAUUUUAUUCUAAAAUAGAUUUUUAUUUUUACUUAUCGUUUUUGAUACAUCAAAAAAAGAUAAUUUCUUUUUCAUGUUUUACCCUUAAUAUUAAAUACUAAUUUCCAAGUCAUUCUCGGAGAUCUAAUACUAAACAUCAAUAUUUAAUAUGGAUAUCAUGAUAAAAUAACUAUGUCAAUAAUUAUUUUUUCAGUAAGUGUACCAAAUUUAACACUGACAAGUAAAAAUGAACAAAGACGAUAAGAGCCACAUACAUAUUAAUUUUUUUGCAUUAAAAAACAUACUUAGUACAUAUUAAACACCAAAUGUUUGUUACACUUCGCUUUCUCUCUCUCUAUCUUCUCCUUAUCUAUCUGCUUCGUCCAUUUUCGUAAAGUGAUAAUACUACAAUAUUUGCUAUCGAAUUUGUCAAUUACUUGAUCAAUUGCCCUUUGUGUGUUGAUAAUGUAAAGACUACUUUUUUGUAAUAGAUUUCAGUUUCCACCUGCUUUUUUAUCUUGAGAAAGUCACUCAACUUUAAACUUUUCUUUCAGAAAGUUCCAUAGUACGUGACUUUCUGAGAGAAAAGUCUCCAUAAUUGAGUGACUUUAUGAGAGAAGAGUUUAUAAUUGAGAUAAAAAUCAUAGUUGAGUGACUUUCUGAGUGAAGUUCACAGUUCAAUAACUUUUUGGUUAAAAAUCAAAGUUGAGUUUUGAGAGAAAAAUCAUUAGUUGAGUGAUUUUUCUUAUGACUUUCUAAGUGAAAAAUUCACAGUUCAAUAACUUUUUGGUUAAAAAUCAAAGUUGAGUUUUGAGAGAAAAAUCAUUAGUUGAGUGAUUUUUCUUAUACAAACCUCUUUCUUGUGGAAUUAGUUGACAGGAGUACUUGACAACCACGCAUGCAUGUUAGUUCCAGCGAGAGGUGGAGUCAUGUGUAUACAGGGUUAUGUGCACUCGUUAAUUUUAAAUUAUUUUUUUAAGGGAAAAAAGACAAACAUACCCCCGAACUAUUGUAAAUGGUAUGCAGAUAUCCUUCAUCAUACUUUUGGGACAUUGGUGCCCCUGCAGUCUAAAAACUAGAGCAUAUAUGCCCUUCACUCUAACGGAAGACUAAAUAGGGACACGUGGCGCAAUCUUAUCAGUCGAUAAAUAUCGGAUCGGUGGAUAAGAUUAUGACACGUGUAUGUCCAUUAGUAUAAAAGGGUAUAUAUGCUCUAGUUUUUUGGACGGCAGGGGGCACCAAUGUCUCAAAAAGUAUGACGGAGGGUAUUUGCAUACCAUUUACGAUAGUUCGGGGUAUAUUUAUCCUUUUUCCCUUUUUUUAAUAGUAUAUUUAUCCAGAAGCUAAUAUGUAUUUUGGAAAAAUUUCCCUCCCUAUAUAUAUACCUCAAUAUACUUGUAUAUUUUCCUUGCUCACGCGACUAGUGGAACUAUUCCUCGAUCGUCAUUGAAAAUUUCACUAUGUUAAAAUAAUAAUUUUGGUGCUGUCUUCAAAUCAUAGAGUUCCCCUUUUGAUCCGACUCGUGGUCCCAACACACCUUUCCCUUGGUUGUUUUCUUGUUUCUAACUAAGACGUAGAAAUUUGGUAUACUUGAAUCUGUCAAUUACUUAAAUGCGUCAUGUAUAUGAUCAUUGCUUACGAAAUUUUUAGCCUCCACACACUGGAACUGAUAUGUAUAUAUAAAACACAAAUCUGUUUACCAAAACUACACUGCCUUCACUUGUUAAGUUUACAAUUCUCUGUUUUGGGCCAUGGAGACUCUGAACUCUAAGUAGUACUACUACUUGUUGCUAUUUUUUGUUAUCUUUUUAUUAAAAUACUUUUUUCAUUCCAAAAAAACGUUUACCGCCUAGUCCUCUGUCUCUUCCAAUAAUUGGCCAUCUUUACCUUAUCAAAAAUUCUAUUCAUCAGUCAUUAACCUCAUUAUCAACUAAAUAUGGACCGGUUAUGUACCUCCGGUUCGGCUGUCGAAAUUUGCUUAUUGUGACUUCUCCAUCCGCUGUAGAAG